AACGAACGCUGGCGGCAGGCUUAACACAUGCAAGUCGAGCGCCCCGCAAGGGGAGCGGCAGACGGGUGAGUAACGCGUGGGAACCUACCCUUUUCUACGGAAUAACGCAUGGAAACGUGUGCUAAUACCGUAUACGCCCUACGGGGGAAAGAUUUAUCGGAGAAGGCAGGGCCCGCGUUGGAUUAGCUAGUUGGUGGGGUAAAGGCCUACCAAGGCGACGAUCCAUAGCUGGUCUGAGAGGAUGAUCAGCCACAUUGGGACUGAGACACGGCCCGAAAUCCUACGGGAGGCAGCAGUGGGGAAUAUUGGGCAAUGGGCGCAAGCCUGAUCCAGCCAUGCCGCGUGAGUGAUGAAGGCCCUAGGGUUGUAAAGCUCUUUCACCGGAGAAGAUAAUGACGGUAUCCGGAGAAGAAGCCCCGGCUAACUUCGUGCCAGCCGCCGCCGUAAGAC
rnacentral:rRNA from 1 species